rnacentral:lncRNA from 1 species
AAGUUAGAACUUGAUGCAUUUUUUUGAAUGAGGGAGCUCAAGAAUGGUGGAAUUUUUUUUUCUUUGGUUAGAGUGGAUUAAACUUUUACUCUAUUUUUUAGAGUAUAGUUUAACUAUACUCCAAAAAUUACGUUACUUUUUUUCCUUCCAAACGCUUCAUAGGAUAUUUUUUCUACCGCUGUAGCAUAGUUUAACUAUGCUACGUUUUCAGGAGUAUUCAAACGGGCCCUAAGCCUUUUGUCAUUUGCCCUAGAGAUGCUUUGGGUUUAUGUUACAUUGCUCACUGCAACAGAAUUAGAUUAUAGGGACACAUAUUUGGGACACUUUUGUGUAAGUGUCUUAUUUAUGUCAAAAUUUUUAAAAAAAUCUACUAAGGCCUAAAUAUAAAGCCCAAUCUAAUAAAAAAUAAAAGGUUACUCUACUCAACCCACCCCACCCAGCCCAUUUGGCUCAAUUACAAACAGAAAAGGAAAAAAAAAAAAAUGAUCACCAUCGCCCCUUCUCCCCUCAUUCAAUCCGCUAAAAUCCUAGACGAAGAGCCCUUCGCUCUCCUCCUCCUUCGCCACCGCAGCCAACGAGGUAAAGUUCCGGCAGUUACUAAAUACUUAAAUAAGUAUUGGUAAAUUAGCAGCACUCUUUUUAGGUUAUACUGACACUCUUAAACUGUCACUAUAUAUCUAGCGACCCCACAUAGAGCAACACUUUUUAAAAAUUUUGGUAAUUUAGCCAGCAAUAUUUUUUUGACCUAUACCAAUAUUUAAAAGUGUCGCUAUACACCGUUGUUGUUGUAGUGAACGUUGAUCUUUGAACUUUUAGGAAAGUUUUA